CCUACGGGUGGCAGCAGUGGGGAAUAUUGGACAAUGGGCGGAAGCCUGAUCCAGCAAUACCGCGUGUGUGAAGAAGGCCUGAGGGUUGUAAAGCACUUUCAAUAGGAAGGAAUACCUAUCCAUUAAUACUGGGUAGACUGACAUUACCUAUACAAGAAGCACCGGCUAACUCAGUGCCAGCAGCCGCGGUAAUACGGAGGGUGCAAGCGUUAAUCGGAAUUACGCGUAGGCGAGUCGUUAUAGGCGAUUUGAAAGCCCCGGGCUUAACCUGGGAAUGGCAUUUGAUACUGGCGAGCUAGAGUUGAGUAGAGGGGAGUGGAAUUUCAGGUGUAGCGGUGAAAUGCGUAGAGAUCUGAAGGAACACCAGUGGCGAAGGCGACUCCCUGGACUCAAACUGACGCUGAGGUACGAAAGCGUGGGUAGCAAACAGGAUUAGAUACCCCAGUAGUC
rnacentral:rRNA from 1 species